CCUACGGGCGGCAGCAGUGAGGAAUAUUGGUCAAUGGACGAGAGUCUGAACCAGCCAAGUAGCGUGAAGGAUGACUGCCCUAUGGGUUGUAAACUUCUUUUAUAUGGGAAUAAAAUGUUCCACGUGUGGGAUUUUGUAUGUACCAUAUGAUUCAGGAUCGGCUAACUCCGUGCCAGCAGCCGCGGUAAUACGGAGGAUCCGAGCGUUAUCCGGAUUUAUUGUGUUUAUCGGGAGCGUAGGUGGAUUGUUAAGUCAGUUGUGAAAGUUUGCGGCUCAACCGUAAAAUUGCAGUUGAAACGGGCAGUCUUGAGUACAGUAGAGGUGGGCGGAAUGCGUGGUGUAGCGGUGAAAUGCUUAGAUAUCACGAAGAACUCCGAGUGCGAAGGCAGUUCACUGGACUGCAACUGACACUGAGGCUCGAAAGUGUGGGUAUCAAACAGGAUUAGAUACCCUUGUAGUC
rnacentral:rRNA from 1 species